UACAGAGACUGCAAGCGUUAUUCGGAUUCACUGGGCGUAAAGGGUGCGCAGGCGGCCGGGUGUGUCAGAUGUGAAAUCCCGAGGCUCAACCUCGGAACUGCGUCUGAAACUACUCGGCUAGAGUACUGGAGAGGGUAACGGAAUUCACGGUGUAGCAGUGAAAUGCGUAGAUAUCGUGAGGAACACCAGAGGCGAAGGCGGUUACCUGGACAGUUACUGACGCUAAGGCACGAAAGCAUGGGGAGCAAAAGGG
rnacentral:rRNA from 1 species